rnacentral:tRNA from 1 species
AUUAAUUUGGCAGAUUUAAGUGCAUUAGGUUUAGAACUUAGUUUAUAUUGUUUUUAUCAAUAAUUAAUA